UUGGCUGUUACAGACCUUAAAAUAUCUACA
rnacentral:piRNA from 1 species